rnacentral:rRNA from 1 species
UUAAGCGACUAAGCGUACACGGUGGAUGCCCUGGCAGUCAGAGGCGAUGAAGGACGUGCUAAUCUGCGAUAAGCGUCGGUAAGGUGAUAUGAACCGUUAUAACCGGCGAUUUCCGAAUGGGGAAACCCAGUGUGAUUCGUCACACUAUCAUUAACUGAAUCCAUAGGUUAAUGAGGCGAACCGGGGGAACUGAAACAUCUAAGUACCCCGAGGAAAAGAAAUCAACCGAGAUUCCCCCAGUAGCGGCGAGCGAACGGGGAGGAGCCCAGAGCCUGAAUCAGUGUGUGUGUUAGUGGAAGCGUCUGGAAAGGCGCGCGAUACAGGGUGACAGCCCCGUACACAAAAAUGCACAUGCUGUGAGCUCGAUGAGUAGGGCGGGACACGUGGUAUCCUGUCUGAAUAUGGGGGGACCAUCCUCCAAGGCUAAAUACUCCUGACUGACCGAUAGUGAACCAGUACCGUGAGGGAAAGGCGAAAAGAACCCCGGCGAGGGGAGUGAAAAAGAACCUGAAACCGUGUACGUACAAGCAGUGGGAGCACAGAGCAAUCUGUGUGACUGCGUACCUUUUGUAUAAUGGGUCAGCGACUUAUAUUCUGUAGCAAGGUUAACCGAAUAGGGGAGCCGAAGGGAAACCGAGUCUUAACUGGGCGUUAAGUUGCAGGGUAUAGACCCGAAACCCGGUGAUCUAGCCAUGGGCAGGUUGAAGGUUGGGUAACACUAACUGGAGGACCGAACCGACUAAUGUUGAAAAAUUAGCGGAUGACUUGUGGCUGGGGGUGAAAGGCCAAUCAAACCGGGAGAUAGCUGGUUCUCCCCGAAAGCUAUUUAGGUAGCGCCUCGUGAAUUCAUCUCCGGGGGUAGAGCACUGUUUCGGCAAGGGGGUCAUCCCGACUUACCAACCCGAUGCAAACUGCGAAUACCGGAGAAUGUUAUCACGGGAGACACACGGCGGGUGCUAACGUCCGUCGUGAAGAGGGAAACAACCCAGACCGCCAGCUAAGGUCCCAAAGUCAUGGUUAAGUGGGAAACGAUGUGGGAAGGCCCAGACAGCCAGGAUGUUGGCUUAGAAGCAGCCAUCAUUUAAAGAAAGCGUAAUAGCUCACUGGUCGAGUCGGCCUGCGCGGAAGAUGUAACGGGGCUAAACCAUGCACCGAAGCUGCGGCAGCGACACUGUGUGUUGUUGGGUAGGGGAGCGUUCUGUAAGCCUGUGAAGGUGUACUGUGAGGAUGCUGGAGGUAUCAGAAGUGCGAAUGCUGACAUAAGUAACGAUAAAGCGGGUGAAAAGCCCGCUCGCCGGAAGACCAAGGGUUCCUGUCCAACGUUAAUCGGGGCAGGGUGAGUCGACCCCUAAGGCGAGGCCGAAAGGCGUAGUCGAUGGGAAACAGGUUAAUAUUCCUGUACUUGGUGUUACUGCGAAGGGGGACGGAGAAGGCUAUGUUGGCCGGGCGACGGUUGUCCCGGUUUAAGCGUGUAGGCUGGUUUUCCAGGCAAAUCCGGAAAAUCAAGGCUGAGGCGUGAUGACGAGGCACUACGGUGCUGAAGCAACAAAUGCCCUGCUUCCAGGGAAAGCCUCUAAGCAUCAGGUAACAUCAAAUCGUACCCAAACCGACACAGGUGGUCAGGUAGAGAAUACCAAGGCGCUUGAGAGAACUCGGGUGAAGGAACUAGGCAAAAUGGUGCCGUAAUUCGGGAGAAGGCACGCUGAUAUGUAGGUGAAGUCCCUCGCGGAUGGAGCUGAAAUCAGUCGAAGAUACCAGCUGGCUGCAACUGUUUAUUAAAAACACAGCACUGUGCAAACACGAAAGUGGACGUAUACGGUGUGACGCCUGCCCGGUGCCGGAAGGUUAAUUGAUGGGGUCAGCGCAAGCGAAGCUCUUGAUCGAAGCCCCGGUAAACGGCGGCCGUAACUAUAACGGUCCUAAGGUAGCGAAAUUCCUUGUCGGGUAAGUUCCGACCUGCACGAAUGGCGUAAUGAUGGCCAGGCUGUCUCCACCCGAGACUCAGUGAAAUUGAACUCGCUGUGAAGAUGCAGUGUACCCGCGGCAAGACGGAAAGACCCCGUGAACCUUUACUAUAGCUUGACACUGAACAUUGAGCCUUGAUGUGUAGGAUAGGUGGGAGGCUUUGAAGUGUGGACGCCAGUCUGCAUGGAGCCGACCUUGAAAUACCACCCUUUAAUGUUUGAUGUUCUAACGUGGACCCGUGAUCCGGGUUGCGGACAGUGUCUGGUGGGUAGUUUGACUGGGGCGGUCUCCUCCUAAAGAGUAACGGAGGAGCACGAAGGUUGGCUAAUCCUGGUCGGACAUCAGGAGGUUAGUGCAAUGGCAUAAGCCAGCUUGACUGCGAGCGUGACGGCGCGAGCAGGUGCGAAAGCAGGUCAUAGUGAUCCGGUGGUUCUGAAUGGAAGGGCCAUCGCUCAACGGAUAAAAGGUACUCCGGGGAUAACAGGCUGAUACCGCCCAAGAGUUCAUAUCGACGGCGGUGUUUGGCACCUCGAUGUCGGCUCAUCACAUCCUGGGGCUGAAGUAGGUCCCAAGGGUAUGGCUGUUCGCCAUUUAAAGUGGUACGCGAGCUGGGUUUAGAACGUCGUGAGACAGUUCGGUCCCUAUCUGCCGUGGGCGCUGGAGAACUGAGGGGGGCUGCUCCUAGUACGAGAGGACCGGAGUGGACGCAUCACUGGUGUUCGGGUUGUCAUGCCAAUGGCACUGCCCGGUAGCUAAAUGCGGAAGAGAUAAGUGCUGAAAGCAUCUAAGCACGAAACUUGCCCCGAGAUGAGUUCUCCCUGACCCUUUAAGGGUCCUGAAGGAACGUUGAAGACGACGACGUUGAUAGGCCGGGUGUGUAAGCGCAGCGAUGCGUUGAGCUAACCGGUACUAAUGAACCGUGAGGCUUAACCUU